GGGCCCGUGGUCUAGUGGUAUGAUAUUCGCUUUGCAUAGAUAUGGCUCGAAAGCGCCUCUGAUAUGUAUCUGCGAAGGGUCCGGGGUUCAAUUCCCCGCAGGUCCA